UUAAGACGCAAUGGCCAGAAGACAUGAACGUCUCACUAGAAGGAUGUGGACGUGGGCUCUGGGACUGUUGAUGAUGACUGUGGUCUUUUGGGGUCAUCAGGGGAAUGGACAAGGCCAAGACGGAAUGAAGUUGAUAAUAGUGAGACCUUGUUGGUACAAGACUAUGUAACAUAACCUGCGCUUCUCAACAAAGAAUUGCUUUUCUGACUUCUGCACUCAAUAGCAAGACAAAUCUCUCCUCUGCCUUCUCCUUAUCAGACUACUCAACAUGAAGGCAAUAAGAAUGAAGACCUUUAUGCAUAAUAAUUGACUUCCACUUAAUAAAUAG